AUGGAGCGCUCCUACCACACCGACCCGUCCAGAAGGCCACGCUCGAGCAACAAGAUGGUGGUCUCCUCUCCGGCCAUCGAGCACGCGGAGUACAUCCUGCGCCAGCACGCGGUGACUCUCACGGCGGCAGAUUGCGCGCACUCCAUGUCCCCCAUGGCAGUGGGGAAAGCCUUCGACGAGCAGCUCCGCACUCCGCCCCAUCAGCUGCGGGUGACGGCGCACCACCCGGAGGCCUUCCUGGUGCACUUCGACCUGCCGGCGCACCGGGACAACGCCGUCCGUCGCGGCGUCCUCAAGGUUGAAGGCUGCAAGUACUUCAUCCGCGCGUGGAACCCUGACGAUCACGCGGCCAUCCUCAAGCUCACGCUCCACGUCCGCAUCGUCGUCGAGGACCUGCCCAUGCAGCUUUGGAGCCUGGAGGGGGCGGAAAAGGCCUUCGGCGACUUCGGCUGCAUCGACCGCCUCGACAGCCGCACCAACGAGCGCGGCCACACCAAGACGUUCGCGUGCUGGCUGUGGGCGUGGGACGCCGCGCACAUCCCGACGAAGAGGGGGCUCUGGGUGCUCAAGCGCGGCGCAGGCCGCGUCGACCAGAUCCUAGGCUUCUCCCCGCCGGAAUUCAACGUGCCCCCGCCGCCGAACGUCCACCGCUACGACCUCCUCAUCCACGUAGAUAGGGUAGAGGACUGGACCCCGCUCUCGCCGCGAUCUUCGCACUCCGGCCAGAGCGGGCUUCCGUCAUCAGGAGAGGAAGACGACCGCCCGUUGCCACGGACCGUUUCGGGCACCUGGGUGGAGGGAGUCGAAGAUGGCCAGUCCAAGAACAGGCGCGGUGUCACCCGCGUUUCCUCCGGGGGCUGCAGCAGCUUCCCGAUCUUGGGAGACCGGCGUGACCACGACGAUGAAGGCCAUGGAAGUCAUGGAGGCCGCUCCUGGCGCGACACGCUCCUGGGCCGUGGCAGGACCGGCAAGAGCAAGAUGCCGGUCUCAGAGGCGCCACGGCACAGGAGCAGGACCCCUGCAUCACGUCAGCGACGCUCCAGCCGGGGCCGCUCGGUUGAGCGUGCAUCUCCACCGGCCCCUGAUGCGUCUCUGCUCCGCGCGACCCCUCCGCUUUCGCUCCAGCCGCGCGCUCUGCCACCACCACCCGAAGAGGACCCAGUGGCGCAGUUCUUCUCCUUCUCGGACUCGGGACGCACGCUCGAGCCUCCCCCGCGCACCGACUGCAUGCAGCUCGAGUUCGAGAACGCCAUGCUGGAGGCUCUGUCCAGCCCGCUCGACUUCAACUCCGACGACGCUACAUCUCCUCAGAUGUCUCCUCCGACGAUGCUGCCCACUGCUCUGCUCCCCAACGUCAUGCCCUGCGUCACACAGCCCACGACUGCUACGAUCGAGCUCCAGGCCAUGGAGGCGGUCACGGAGAGAGUAAACCACAUGAAGAUUCAGGCGGAUUCUGAGGCGCUGCAGCUCUUCAGCAACAUUCAGCCCCCAGUGCUCACCACCCCGAAGCAGAAGCGCACGUCGGCUCCUCCCAAAUCCAGGGCCGUUUCUGUUCCAUCCAGGCGCAGUGCAAGACAAGCAGCGGCCAGCUCCACUGUCCCGGUGUCUCAGAGAGCGGCGCUUCGUCUUGUCAAGGAGCUCGGCGAGCUUGGUCCAGGCGACAAGAUGACCCCGGAGAUCGCGGCAAGGCUGAUCAAGCGCUUCAACGAGCCGCUGACGGAUGCAGACAUUCAGACCAUUGCAAAGCUGACAAACCUCGACGUCAACGCUCUGAAGAUCGCAGCGGCAGCUCAUGGCCCUGAUGGUGCAGCCAAGGCGGCUGAGUAG
rnacentral:rRNA from 1 species